GUUCUAGUAGUUACAGAGGCUUUCUAGGAAACCAGGCUAAAAAUACUAGGAGAUAAUAUUACAUCACUGAAAGAUAAUGUCUUCAAUCAAAACAAGUUAUAUCAAAUCUGAUUUUUGUCAGCCCUCGUGAAUAUUUGGGGUUAAUUCUCUAUCACUGAGAUGUUCUUGCUGACUUAGCUGUGGAGGAGCAAGAGUCACUGACAGCCCAGGAAGAGAAACAAACAUACACAUACCUGUAGAACAGUGCACAGGCAAACAAUAAUCACAGAUUCUUGGAUCUAGAUGAAAGGAAACUCUUCCUUUAAUUUCCUCCACUGCAGCUGUCCUGUGCUGAAGUCAUCAACUGUACCUAGUGAUGAGUUCUUGCUGUGGGAGCACUAUCAGCUUUUUGCAAACCUCAUGGAAGUUUCUGGAGAUCUUUGCCACAGGAAAUGGAACAGUCUCUGCUGUCAGAAAGAUAUGGACACACCAUUAGGACUGCCUUGCUGUGGGGAGAACUCCUGGUACACAGAGGUCAAUGGUGGCUGGACCUUUCUAAGCUCAUCAUUUCUGUAGUAGUCUUGAAUAAAAGGGCAUGUCAGUCAGUGAUACUGUCCUCUCUGUGUCACAAUAAAAAUGAAGUAAACAUG